rnacentral:lncRNA from 1 species
AUGCAUCUGGUGCUAUCUUCACAGUUUAUGGACCUUCCAGCAUGGUCAUCCAAUCUUCUGCUCCCAUUGAAACAGCCAAACAAACCUCAGCACCAGGAAAUACCUGACUCGGGCUUCUCAGAAGAGAAAGGCCUUCAUCUCUCUGAUUUCUUUUCCACCAUAUACUUGCUCUUUGACCUCUGGCAGUUCGCUUACCUUUGCUGA